AUUGAACGCUGGCGGCAUGCCUUACACAUGCAAGUCGAACGGUAACGCGGGGCAACCUGGCGACGAGUGGCGAACGGGUGAGUAAUGCAUCGGAACGUGCCCGGUAGUGGGGGAUAACUGCUCGAAAGAGCAGCUAAUACCGCAUACGACCUGAGGGUGAAAGGGGGGGAUCGCAAGACCUCUCGCUAUCGGAGCGGCCGAUGUCGGAUUAGCUAGUUGGUGGGGUAAAAGCCCACCAAGGCGACGAUCCGUAGCUGGUCUGAGAGGACGACCAGCCACACUGGGACUGAGACACGGCCCAGACUCCUACGGGAGGCAGCAGUGGGGAAUUUUGGACAAUGGACGCAAGUCUGAUCCAGCCAUGCCGCGUGCGGGAAGAAGGCCUUCGGGUUGUAAACCGCUUUUGUCAGGGAAGAAAUCUUCUGAGUUAAUACCUCGGGAGGAUGACGGUACCUGAAGAAUAAGCACCGGCUAACUACGUGCCAGCAGCCGCCGUAA
rnacentral:rRNA from 1 species